CAUCCCUACGGGACGCAGCAGUGGGGAAUAUUGCACAAUGGGGGGAACCCUGAUGCAGCGACGCCGCGUGAAGGAAGAAGUAUUUCGGUAUGUAAACUUCUAUCAGCAGGGAAGAAAAUGACGGUACCUGACUAAGAAGCCCCGGCUAACUACGUGCCAGCAGCCGCGGUAAUACGUAUGGGGCAAGCGUUAUCCGGAUUUACUGGGUGUCAAGUGAGCGUAGGCGGCAGUGCAAGUCAGAAGUGAAAGCC
rnacentral:rRNA from 1 species